GAGGAAAACUCAUCUGUAUUCUCAGACCCAUCUAGUCCGCUCAGUGGUGCUAACAAUCAUGAAAAUGACUCGGAGAAAAGUAGUGUUGCUUCAAAUUCGUCCAUUGAUGAAACAGAUGAUCAUCCUGAGGCUAACCAUGAAGAUACAACACUUCCUGUUUCCCAUCUCCCUAAUAAUGCCACUCUAAAUUCUGGGGACAACAAUGAGGCCACUGGAAAGUCUCUGGCAGUUCCAAAGGAGCGGAAGCUUCUUUCAGGUAAAUUCCAAUGGUUUUGGAAGUUUGGUCGGAGUAAUGAUGGCGAGGAGACAUCUGAAAAAGGAAAUGGGGCACUUGAUGCUACAAAAUCUGCUAAUGAUGCUGGUAGUCAGAGCAGUACAGUAUGCUCU
rnacentral:misc_RNA from 1 species